GGUGAGUAGAUCGUAGAAGGUAUCAAAGUAAAAUCUUAAAGAUGGUUUCUUGCUAAGAAAAAAUGGGACCAUGUUUGUAUUAUGAAUGGUACUCAACCCCUCUUCUUUGUUAAAAUGCUUAAGUUAGAGGUUGGAAUUUUGCGGGGCAAGUACUCCUUGUACUUUUUCCAAGUUGUGGGUGAAGUACUCUUUCUAUUUCUCCCAUUUCUAAUAAAAUUCGUUGUUAAAAAAAAGAAAG
rnacentral:lncRNA from 1 species